GAAAUAAUAACACUAGAAUUCUCUCAUACAUCAUACAUUGGUGAAUGAAUUCUAUCUAUAUGGCAAUCGAUAUGAAAAUGCAAGGAUAAAGAGACUGCUAUCCUACGAUGAAAUUUGCAAUUAAUUAGGAAUAUCAAGGCUUCUGCCAAUAACUUUAAUCCUGACGUCCCAUGCAAGAGAGGACAAUUGAAGGUGAACUAUUUUGUAGCAAAAUCAAGCCAGCAAUUAAAUAAAAUGUAGAGAUGAAAUAUACUUUUUCAUAUCAAAUCAAGAGCUACAACAAACACAAAAACUAACUGCUAAUUUCCCUAUCCAUUUUCAUUCUCUUCGCAGUUUGCACCUCUGAUAUGCUACUGCUUCGUUGCUGUGAAGAUGCAUCAUGCUGGUAUGCACAAUUGGCUCCAUGCCGGCAUCCUCUCGAGCUGUUAAAAUAAAUACAAGGCUUCAUAAUCUUGGGCUUUGAGUCCCUUGAUUUGGGAUGAACUAAUUCUUGGUUUGUCCCUACUUGGUGAUUGUAACGGCUACCAUAUUGAUGAGGGGAUUCUUGUCUUUCACCUCCAUGUUGCUGGAUCAAGUUCUUAUAAUAGUUCACAUCCUUCACUUGUGGAACUCCAAGGGAGGGUCCAGAUGAAGCUGGAACUGCAGGUGGAGGAACCUGUGCAUUUGAGAGAUACCCUGGUCCAACCCCAUUUGGUUGAGCAUAAAAGGAUCCACUUGAAGUAGCAGUAAACGAUGAAGGCGUGUUGGUCUCCGUUCUAUUCAUGUGCAAAUAAGAUGAUUCUGAUAAAGUUGGAGGAGGAGGAGGAGGAGGAGGAGGAGGAGGAAGAGGAGGAGCUGAUAAGAUUUCUACCAAUUUAGGAUUUGAAAUGGCGGUGUUAUUGCAGCAGCGAUUAAGGAGGCGAGCUAAGAGCAGUGACAAAGUAUGGAGGAAUUGAGGGUGACGCUGUAGAUAGAAAAUUUGAGUUUUGUUUUGACAAGCAAAUUGGUGUAUCUUUUUG
rnacentral:misc_RNA from 1 species